rnacentral:rRNA from 1 species
AUUGAACGCUGGCGGCAUGCCUUACACAUGCAAGUCGAACGGUAACAGGUCUUCGGAUGCUGGCGAGUGGCGAACGGGUGAGUAAUACAUCGGAACGUGCCUAGUAGUGGGGGAUAACUACUCGAAAGAGUGGCUAAUACCGCAUGAGAUCUACGGAUGAAAGCAGGGGAUCGCAAGACCUUGUGCUACUAGAGCGGCCGAUGGCAGAUUAGGUAGUUGGUGGGAUAAAAGCUUACCAAGCCGACGAUCUGUAGCUGGUCUGAGAGGACGAUCAGCCACACUGGGACUGAGACACGGCCCAGACUCAUACGGGAGGCAGCAGUGGGGAAUUUUGGACAAUGGGCGCAAGCCUGAUCCAGCAAUGCCGCGUGCAGGAUGAAGGCCUUCGGGUUGUAAACUGCUUUUGUACGGAACGAAAAGCCCCGGGUUAAUACCCUGGGGUCAUGACGGUACCGUAAGAAUAAGCACCGGCUAACUACGUGCCAGCCGCCGCAGUAA